rnacentral:rRNA from 1 species
GAUGAACGCUGGCGGCGUGCCUAAUACAUGCAAGUCGAGCGAACAGACGAGGAGCUUGCUCCUCUGACGUUAGCGGCGGACGGGUGAGUAACACGUGGAUAACCUACCUAUAAGACUGGGAUAACUUCGGGAAACCGGAGCUAAUACCGGAUAAUAUAUUGAACCGCAUGGUUCAAUAGUGAAAGACGGUUUUGCUGUAACUUAUAGAUGGAUCCGCGCCGCAUUAGCUAGUUGGUAAGGUAACGGCUUACCAAGGCAACGAUGCGUAGCCGACCUGAGAGGGGGAUCGGCCACACUGGAACUGAGACACGGUCCAGACUCCUACGGUAGGCAGCAGUAGGGAAUCUUCCGCAAAGGGCGAAAGCCUGACGGAGCAACGCCGCGUGAGUGAUGAAGGUCUUCGGAUCGUAAAACUCUGUUAUUAGUGAAGAACAAAUGUGUAAGUAACUAUGCACGUCUUGACGGUACCUAAUCAGAAAGCCACGGCUAACUACGUG